AAACAGACAAGAAAGUAGGAAAUAAGAGUCAAGAAAAUUUUAUCACCAUUGGCUCACUGGCUCUUUCCACAAAUAUCUGUAUUUGAUUUUUUCGGGAUUUGCUAAAACCCUGCCAAAACCCCCACCCACCUCAAUUCCCCAUGGUUGGGUCCUUCUCUACUGUUGUAUUGUAAUGGCCGUCGCUAGAGCUCAUCUCUCCCCCAUUUCCGUCUCUGAACACGAUGUCUCCUCCUCAUUUCUGGGGUCGUCUCCUAGGGUUUGGAGAUUCUUCUUCGCGUGUCCUUGCCAUGCCAGAAUCAAACGCACCCAUUUACUCACCACCGCUGUUUAUACCGAAGGCGUUUCAAUCACCCGGUCGGUGCAACGACGGGAGAGGAUGGAGCCGGAAAGCGACGACAUAACGAUUCUGAACGAGAGGAUUCGUCGCGAGCAGAGUAAGAGGGAUGUUUCGAGGGCUCCGGUGGUGGAUUCGGAGGAGGCGGAUAAGUAUAUUCAGCUGGUGAAGGAGCAGCAGCGGAGGGGUUUGCAGAAGCUGAAGGGUGAGAGGGUGGGGAAGGAGAAUGGGCAAUUCAGUUAUAAGGUUGAUCCUUAUACGCUUCGUUCUGGAGAUUAUGUUGUGCAUAAGAAGGUGGGUAUCGGGCGAUUUGUCGGGAUUAAGUUGGACGUUCCCAAGGAUUCUUCCAACCCAAUUGAGUAUGUGUUUAUAGAGUAUGCAGAUGGAAUGGCAAAGCUUCCGGUGAAGCAAGCUUCUCGUAUGCUUUAUCGAUAUAAUCUCCCCAGUGAAUCAAAAAGGCCCCGCACAUUGAGCAAGUUAAGUGAUACUAGUAUAUGGGAAAGGAGAAGGAUAAAAGGUCGGGUUGCCAUUCAGAAGAUGGUUGUUGAUUUGAUGGAGCUGUAUUUACAUCGGCUGAAACAAAAAAGGCCUCCCUAUCCAAAGAGUCCUGGCAUGGCUGAGUUUGAAGCUCAGUUUUCUUAUGAGCCGACACCGGAUCAAAAACAGGCUUUCAUUGAUGUUGAGGAGGACUUGACAGAGAGAGAAACUCCAAUGGACAGAUUAAUUUGUGGGGAUGUUGGGUUUGGCAAAACUGAAGUUGCACUACGGGCAAUAUUUUGUGUUGUCUCAGCAGGGAAGCAAGCUAUGGUUCUGGCACCUACAAUUGUUUUAGCCAAACAACAUUUUGAUGUUAUUACAGAGCGGUUCUCUAAGUAUCCUAACAUCAAGGUCGGGCUUCUGAGCAGAUUUCAGACCACAGCAGAGAAAGAGAAGCAUCUGCGCAUGAUUAAACAUGGUGAUCUAGACAUUAUUGUGGGAACUCACUCGCUUCUUGGAAAUCGUGUUGUUUAUAGUAAUCUAGGCCUUCUUGUGGUCGAUGAGGAACAGAGGUUUGGUGUCAAACAGAAGGAGAAGAUUGCUUCAUUUAAAACUUCAGUUGAUGUUCUCACUCUUUCUGCAACACCCAUCCCACGAACCCUUUAUCUAGCAUUGACUGGGUUUCGUGAUGCUAGUUUGAUUUCAACACCACCUCCAGAAAGAGUUCCCAUCAUAACUCAUCUUUCAGCAUACAAUAAAGAGAAGAUAAUAUCGGCAAUCAAGUUUGAGCUGGGCCGAGGUGGCCAAAUUUUCUAUGUUUUGCCUCGUAUAAAAGGACUUGAAGAAGUCAUGGAAUUUCUUGAAUGCUCAUUUCCAGAUGUUGAAAUAGCUAUUGCACAUGGCAAGCAAUACUCAAAGCAGCUUGAGGAAACCAUGGAUAGAUUUGCACAAGGAGAAAUUAAGAUUCUUAUAUGCACAAAUAUAGUAGAAAGUGGACUUGACAUUCAGAAUGCAAACACCAUCAUAAUUCAGGAAGUUCAACAAUUUGGCCUGGCACAAUUAUACCAGUUGCGUGGAAGAGUGGGGCGUGCAGAUAAGGAAGCUCAUGCAUACUUGUUUUACCCUGAUAAGUCACUGCUGUCUGAUCAAGCACUGGAGAGACUGUCAGCUCUUGAAGAAUGUCGUGACCUUGGUCAAGGUUUUCAACUUGCAGAGAGAGACAUGGGUAUAAGAGGCUUUGGUAACAUCUUUGGUGAGCAACAGACAGGGGAUGUUGGAAAUGUAGGCAUUGAUCUCUUCUUUGAAAUGCUUUUUGAGAGCUUGUCAAAGGUUGAAGAGCACCGUCUUAUUUCAGUUCCUUACCAAUCAGUGCAGUUUGACAUAAAUAUAAACCCUCAUCUCCCUUCUGAGUAUAUAAAUUAUCUGGAGAACCCCAUGGAAAUAAUUAGUGAAGCUGAGAAAUCUGCUGAAGAGGACAUUUGGAGUUUGAUGCAAUUCACAGAGAAUCUGCGCCGUCAAUAUGGGAAAGAGCCUUACUCAAUGGAGGUUCUAUUGAAAAAGCUUUAUGUGAAGAGAAUGGCAGCAGAUCUUGGGAUUACCAGGAUAUAUGCUUCAGGAAAGACGGUUAUCAUGAGAACAAAAAUGAAUAAAAAGGUUUUCAAGCUGAUAACAGAUUCUAUGGCUUCUGACAUCAUCAGAAAUUCUCUUGUUUUUGAGGAGAACCAGAUUAAGGCGGAACUACUUCUGGAGCUACCGAGAGAGCAGUUCCUCAAUUGGGUUUUCCAAUGCUUGGCUGAACUGCAUGCUUCCCUGCCAGCCCUUAUUAAGUACUAGUCCUCUUUACAGAAAAAUGCCCAUUCUUUCAGACUUGCUAUAUCAUCGGGUUCCCCCCCCACUGAACAUCAAUCAAGAUUACAUGGUUGCUUCAGGCCUGAAAACGAACACCAAGAAACCCCGGAAGUAGCACCAAAGCUCCAGGGGCUGCCACCCUCAUGAUGUUUCAAAGCUGUGAUGCCCUUGUAAAGAUCAUGAGAUGUUCAAAAACUAAAACAAAAAUUGAGACAAAGCAUUAGAUAUUUGAAAAUUUAUUCCUAACAUGGGUGCCAGACACUGAUCAGAAUCAUAUUUUGCUUCUUCAAGGAUGAUGCACAUACAGAGGUGAAGGGGACCAGGUGGGGAACAGAGAAGACUGCAGAUUGUGCUACUUCUAAACCAUAUUCUUACAAUCUGUAAAAUCCAUCCCAGGGAAUUUGGAAUAUUUGUUUGAUCCAACCUGCCUUCAGGGUCUCGAUGUGGUCGGUGUUUAAUUAUUUCUUAGUAAACAAACAGAAUGAACAGCAGAAACCAGCAGCAGGGACAGUGAUGGUAACUGGUCACGCAGGCUUCAUGUAGUUGAGUUGAGGGGUUGGUUUGAAAAAGAAAGGUCAAGCAGGGGAAAUUCAAAUUUGA